GUUAAGGGAAACAAGCAUUUCAUUCUUGAUGAUGUUUGGUAUUUUGGUGUCGGUUUGUUGUCUGAGAUUUCAGUGUUUAAGUGUUACUCUAAAUCCUUGACAAAAAUAUGGUUGUCAAAAGCAGAGCGUUGAUUGACACAAAACACACACACAAUAGGUUAUUGUGUGAGACAGUCACCAUGAUGAUAUCUGUGUCCUUAAUGGUAAGGUUCAUGCUUAAAUUAGCAUGUGGCCCAUGAGUAAUAAUAUACGCCUGUCUUCAGCCUGGGUGAGACUGACCAAUCCUGGCCAGUGGCCCGAGGAGGUUGCUGAAUCUAGUUAACAGGACCCCUCCCCACACACACACACAUAAGUAGCCUACGGUGGUGUAGCAUAUUGGUUUCAGUUGCUGAUGGCUACGGUUACUUAGCAGAGGGUUAUCAUGAUCCCUUUCUCUCUUUUUCUCUCUCCCACACACAUAUAGAGUAGAGAGUUACAAGCUUAGGGAGGUUUAGCUAGGCCUACUUUUCAUUUUCAUUUCCUUUUUUAUCUCAAUGUGUGUUUCCAUACAGAAACCACCAGGGCGGAAGGUUAAAUGAAUUCCUCACGAAACCAUGCAUGAAACUCAUGGUUUGUUGUUUCUGGUCUUUCCUGGGGAAUUGUUCACAAGUGGCUGGGCAGAAACAAAGCGAUUAAGGGGUGCCAUGGAGUCAGUGGUUUCUUGAUGAUCUGACCGCUGAUCUGUACCAGUGAACUUUAAAGAUGGGGAAAACCAGAGAAGCUACAAGAACAGCAUGGGCAAAAUGGACAGUGUCACUGACCUUUAUAGGCACAAACACUGUAUGAAGUGGUUCUGGGUGAUAGACGUUGUCAAGAAACACAAUUGGUCUUGCUCCAUGUGCAUUCAUCAACUCUUCGAGCUUGACAAGACAGAGCUCCGCUCCAGGCUUGUGGUGUCAUUUGAGCAAGUCUGGAGUCAGGACAGCCAGGCCAGGAAGGGAGGACUUUUUCUGAGUUGAGAUCAAAACCCUUUUCAUUCAAGGGCAGUACUGUGGGAUUUGCCAGAGACAAGAGGAGAGACGAAGCAGGUAUAAAGUGACUUUUGUGUUACAAGGAUGUUGUUG